CCCAUCCCUGGAAGAUCCCACGGGAGCCCAUACCUGGGAGACCUCAGGGGAGUCCAUCCCUGGAAGACCUCAGGGGAGUCCAUCCUUGGGAGACCCCAGGAGCCCUCAAGCAGUGAUUUCAGAGUCAUCUCUUCUUCCUUGCAGCCUGGCUGUCCUGCCUGGAACCUCUGAGACUGUUCUGCUCCUCACACCCUCUCAGAAGCAUCCCAGCAAGCCCUGUGGGAUUCAGUGUGGGUCUCUUGAGGUUACUUCCUACUCAUCCAUGCCUGGGCCCCUUGCUCCUUCUGCAAAGACUCCCAUUCCAGGUCCUAGAAGCAAUCCUGACUGGGGACAGCUUAGACCCUGCUCUGAGGCCUUAGUGUGUGAGCCAAGAGGUAAGUCAUACCCUGUGGGGUUUGUAUGGGGCCCACCCUGGACCUCACUCCAGACCUCACUAUCUGCUCUACCCUCAAGGUAA
ensembl:lncRNA